GACGAACGCUGGCGGCGUGCUUAACACAUGCAAGUCGAACGGAAAGGCCCUGCUUUUGUGGGGUGCUCGAUUGGCGAACGGGUGAGUAACACGUGAGUAACCUGCCCUUGACUUUGGGAUAACUUCAGGAAACGGGGGCUAAUCCCGUAUAGCAGCUCCUGCUGCAUGGUGGGGGUUGGAAAGUUUCGGCGGUUGUGGUUGGACUCGCGGCUUAUCAGCUUGUUGGUGGGGGAGUGGCUUACCAAGGCUUUGGCGGGUAGCCGGCCUGAGAGGGUGACCGGCCACAUUGGGCCUACGAGACGGACCAGACUCCUAUGGGAGGCAGCAGUGGGGAAUCUUGUACAAUGGGCGGAAGCCUGAUGCAGCAACGCCGCGUGUGGGAUGACGGCCUUCUGGUUGUAAACCGCUUUCGCCUGUGACGAAGCGUGAGUGACGGUAAUGGGUAAAGAAGCACCGGCUAACUACGUG
rnacentral:rRNA from 1 species